rnacentral:lncRNA from 1 species
UGAAAUAGUGAAAUCAGUUUGCAACCGGGAAAAACUACAGAAGAACUACUGAAAUCGACGAAGGAUUUCCGCUGCUGCUUGCCUGCUUCCGCUGCUACUGAAAUCGACGAAAGAAAUCGUGUUUCCUGGCCGCUGCUUCCAAGGUAGAAAUCGCGUUUCUACUUUCUAGAUGGGUAUACCUAACGUGUAGUACUGUAUUUUGCAUAAGAAAAAUAAAUGUCGCAUAUUGGACCGCAUAUGCGACCAGGCGGUCGCAUAUGCAGUAUGCGGUCCCAGGCAUCGCCUGGUCGCCUGGCCGCGUUAAAAAGCUUGAUUUUAGGUACCCCCUCUAUCCCAUACAACAAAUAACAUGUCCUCCAUAGUUGACUUUCUAGAUUUAAAUCUAGAUCUAUAUAUCAUACACAAUACGCACAUCCACAACUAUACGUCGUGCCAACUCUGAUAUCAGUAAAGAUCUGCUCUCAUGCUUCCUCCGGUUACGCUCACCCCAAAUUGCCCAUGUGCUUGACCCAAAAAUAGUCCAACACAUGCCCCAUGCAGAUGAUCGUCGUGUUCUCGUGUCUGCCCAGUCCAUAUAUGAUCCGAUCCCUACAUCUGUCAGUGUCAAGAAGUCCCCUAUAUACCUACGGAUCUGUCUCCAUAUAUCUUUGGAAUAACUACAUCCGAAAUAUAUAUGGUCGAAGCUCUCUGGCUCUAUCGUUCACAACCAUCACUGCUUAGGUUGAGGGUACCCCCACCCAAUCAGCUUGUCCUGCAUCGUGAUUUUUCGAAGGCUGGCUCUCUACAUCGUCAUAGCAUACUUAUUGACGUUUGGUGCCCAUAUCCCUACUGCUUUGCCUUCCCUUGGUCUCCUCUCUCUGAUCGUGUCCCACACGUUCUGAAAUGUGAAGCUUGUGCCACUCCAUGUCCAUGUGCAUAUGUAAUCCUCUCCACAAGUCAUGCCCCUACUUAUCUUCUGCCUCUUAUCCAUAAGCUCUAACCAUGCCGGUGAGUCAACUCCACUACGUCUCUGGAUGUCUGCAAGUGCCCUUCCUCUGACAUACCUCUCGCGCAUCCAUCUGACCCAAAUAGAAUCCUCUGCAUUCCAGAUCCUCCACACUCUCUUCAUUACUGAUGCCAUAAUUGUAUCCUCGAAUCGUCUGAAACCAAUUCCACCCUCAACCUUUGGUAACGUCAUUUGGUCCCAACUGACCUCUUUCUUCCUAUCCCAUAAGAAUCUGUAUGUCAGGCUCUGCAACUGAUGAAAUAAUUUUGAGCAUGCAGAUAUAUUUUGUCCAUGUUCUUGAUGAACUCGAACGGUUGGAUAGUCGUUGGCAGUGACUGUCAAAAAAAGAAAUCGUAAUAAUCUUGGAAAUCCCAAAUAAAAUUACGAAAUAGAAAUCAGAGAUAGUGAUCAAACCAAGUACGGAGAUUUUCCAAGAACAUUCAAUCGAGAGAGAGAGUUCUGGUCCAUUCCGGAGUGGUUGUUGGGUUUUGGGUAGAGCUGGGAGUGUGUUUGAGGGACCGUGAGGGAGUGUGGGUGGGGUUGGGGAUUGACAUGAAUGGGGUUGAUGGUGGGAGUGACAAUAAUUGAAACAAUAGCUUUCAUUGUAUUCAUUCUAAUAACAUGACUAUAGGUGUUUAUGAAUAUUACUCUUUCUUCUUGAUCGAUUAUAGUAUUUGGCUACUAAUCUGGCUUUAUAUCUUUCCACAGAUCCAUCUGAUUUUUUCUUAAUUUUAAACACCCAUCUACACCCUACUAAUCUACUAUAUUCAUUGUAGAGUCUUUAGGAACAAGAGUCCAUGUACUAUUCACUUUUAGAGCCUCUAGUUCUUGAUGCAUAGCAGUUCUCCAUUUAGGUUCCUUAUAUUUCUAAGGUUGUAUAUCUCUAGAAAAGUUGGGGGGAAUGGUAGAAAGUAUUAGAGAUAGAAGUCAUAAAGACGUGCUAGCCAAGGGAAUUUGAUCGAAGAUACCAACAAAAUUCUUUAUUCUCCCGUGAAGGGUGAAAUGGAAUCACCUAAACACGUUCAGGAAAUUGAGAAGUUGGAAAGUGCAAGUAUCUCCUGCUUGCCUAUUUCAACUACUCUUAUUUCAGGUUUCUUCUAAUUCCGUUGACUGAACACCUGAAUUUCACCUCCUGGAGAAUAAUGAAUAUUCUAGUUUCCACCCAAUCUAGUCUGGAUAUUAGGUUGGGGGAUCUUACAAAGGCUACGUAAAAAUUCACACACUACUCCCCCCUUGGGGACUACUAUGGAAUGUCAUUGGGUGUUUAUCGUGACAUAUAUGGACAAAAAAAAAGAUACAAACAAAACAUUAGUAGCUAGGCCUCCUGAGGUAGUCCAUAAGGAGAUCAUUAAGGACAUCAGUCUCUCAUUUGAUCUGAAAUGUUAUAAGAAGAGUUGUUGUCACUCUUUGAAGACUUUUAUGAUGAAAGUAUGAAAGACUAACCUCCUGAGAAAGCGUAUCUAAUUACUUUAUAACUAUACUACAUAACUAAUAGGAGAGAGUCAAUGGAUUUCUUGCUCUUUUUUUACUUCUAUUUGUAUUCUCUAUUUUGUAAUUUGGGCAUUGCCCUUCUUUUUAAAGAAAUUUAAUUUUCGAAAAGAAAAGAAAAAUGUAGUGUCAUGUGAUUUUGGCAAGUUUAAAAUAGAUGGCAAGUUAUUUUUAUUCAAGGGAAUUGGAACAGUUAUAACCUGUAUUCCAAGAUUCUUGUAUGCAGUUCUAUUGUAAGGAUUCUUUCCUUUUCCUGAAUUGUAUCUAGAAUUCUUAUAAUUAUUUCUAUUAAAAUUAGAGUAAUUCACCUGAUAGUCCCUUUCAGUUGAUGAAUUAUCCAAUUGUUUCGUGAGAAUCUCUUCCUUUAUCAGCAGAUCAAUAAGUUGACUAAAUGUGAUGUCUUCGUGAAAGUUGAGGGAGGUCCUGAAGAUCCUGAAUUCUGGUCCAAGACCCUUAAGAAUGUACUCAGAGACUCUUUCAUUAGACAUGAGAUAACCUGCAACAAUCAAGGAAUAUUUUACACUUUUAAAUUUAAAAAUGUACCUCAUUGUAAUAUCAACACUUUUGUUCAAAUAGUUCAUCUCAUUUCGCAAAGAUUGGAUCUAGUUCUCGUCAAUUAGCGAUACAUCAGUUUCCAAUAAAUGCCAUGCCUCAAAGGCAGAGGUGCAAGGUAGAAGCAAUGGUUGGAUUUCCUUGUUCAUAACCGCUUUAAUCCAGCUCAAGACAAUACCAUCAUUCCUCAUGUGUGAUUUAUAUACUGGAUUUUACGAUCCAUCUGCUAAAUUGACUGUCGGGGUUGGAAGUGUACCAAAAAUGAAGUCCAUUAGGCAUUAAGCCAUGAAUCCUCAACACCCCCUUCAAAUUGAUUUUUCCAGACCAAGUAGUUGCCCAAAGGGGAGUUGGACAUAAGUGGCACAACGCCGUGACACUAUACAUCAUUUCCGGUACCUCUAUUCUUGCUCCGGACACCGUCAGAUUACUAGAAUUACUUGAUCCGACCUCAAUUAUUCCAUCACUGUUCAUUACCUCUAAUCUAUCCCAAAAUAGACCGCCGCAAUAAACUUCAUUUUCUAAGCAGAAACUUACCUUAGAUUGCAGUCAGAGUUUGCUCGAUACCAUGUAAAAAUCCAGGCAGUCAUUAUUUAUAGAACCAGUAACAAAAUGUAGAGGGAGACAAAGAAGAAGAAUUUAAAGAAAGAUAGUGGAGGAAGAUAGAAGAAGAAGAUAAAAAAAGUUAAGACAGAAGAUAAUGAAGAAGAAAGAAGUCAUUGAAAAGUCAAUGAACACCAAAAAAGAGACAAGUCUUAAAAUGGGGCUUAUUCUCAUUAAUUAUUGACUAAGCAUACAAGCAUUCAACUUAAUUACAUCAAUGUUUACGGUAAUACUUAUACAGUACAUUGGUACAAUUACAAUAUAAUACUUAUUUGUAUUAUAAUCCCUUAAAGUAUAUUUUUUUUCUUUACAGUUCAUAGACAUACUUUGCUGAAAAAGGAUUGAUGGUAUACAAAAUUCAAAAUUGGAUGGAGUCAUGAAGCAAGCUUACAAAACUGUAUUUAUAUGAAGA